rnacentral:rRNA from 1 species
AGGAUCAUUAUUGAAAUAAACCUGAUGGGUUGCUGCUGGUUCUCUAGGGAGCAUUGUGCACACUUGUCAUUUUUAUAUUUCUCCACCUGUGCACCUUUUGUAGACCUUGAAAACUUUUUCUGAAUGUCCAGGCAUUUAGGUUUAGGGAUUUGGCUUUUGGCCUUUUCUUGCGUUUCUAGGUCUAUGUUUUUUAUAUACUCCAAUGCAUGUUAUAGAAUGUAAUCAAGGGCCUUUUGUGCCUUUAAAAUCUAUACAACUUUCAGCAACGGAUCUCUUGGCUCUCGCAUCGAUGAAGAACGCAGCGAAAUGCGAUAAGUAAUGUGAAUUGCAGAAUUCAGUGAAUCAUCGAAUCUUUGAACGCACCUUGCGCUCCUUGGUAUUCCGAGGAGCAUGCCUGUUUGAGUGUCAUUAAUAUAUCAACAUUUUCGAGCCUUUUCUUGGAAUGUUGGAUGUUGGGGGUUUUUCUUUUGCUGGUUUUUUGUUAUAGAGGUCAGCUCCCCUGAAAUACAUUAGCGGAACAAUUUGUUGACCGUUUAUUGGUGUGAUAACUAUAUAUCUACGCUAUUAACGUGAAGUAGAGUUCAGCUUCUAACAGUCCAUUGACUUGGACAACUUUUAUUAAUGUGACCUCAAAUCAGGUAGGAUUACCCGCUGAACUUAAGCAUAUCAAUAAGCGGAGGAAAAGAAACUAACAAGGAUUCCCCUAGUAACUGCGAGUGAAGCGGGAAAAGCUCAAAUUUAAAAUCUGGCAGUCUUGCUGUCCGAGUUGUAAUCUAGAGAAGUGUUAUCCGCGCUGGACCGUGUACAAGUCUCCUGGAAUGGAGCGUCAUAGAGGGUGAGAAUCCCGUCUUUGACACGGACUACCAGGGCUUUUGUGAUGUGCUCUCAAAGAGUCGAGUUGUUUGGGAAUGCAGCUCAAAAUGGGUGGUAAAUUCCAUCUAAAGCUAAAUAUUGGCGAGAGACCGAUAGCGAACAAGUACCGUGAGGGAAAGAUGAAAAGAACUUUGGAAAGAGAGUUAAACAGUACGUGAAAUUGCUGAAAGGGAAACGCUUGAAGUCAGUCGCGUUAUCCAGGGAUCAACCUUGCUUUUGCUUGGUGCACUUUCUGGUUGACGGGUCAGCAUCAAUUUUGACUAUUGGAAAAAGGUCAGGGGAAUGUAGCAUCAUUAUAGAUGUGUUAUAGCCCUUGGUUGUAUACAAUGGUUGGGAUUGAGGAACUCAGCACGCCGCAAGGCCGGGUUUU